UCCGGACUUCCACUCGAAGUUGUCGAGCAGGGACCAGGCGAAGUAACCUAUCACGGUGGCGCCGUCGUCGAUCGCCUUCUUCAGCUCCGUUAUGUAGCUCCGGUAGUAGUUGAUCCUGGUGGUGUCGUGCAGCCCCUGUCGAAGAGUGACGUUUCCGGGAUCGUCCAUUCCUGUCACCACCGUCGUCGUCGAGUCAGUGACUGCACACAGUGAAAUGGAAGAGCAAAAGCUUCGUCAUGGAUACCGUUCUCAGAUAAGAUCACAGUGGGGUUGCCGUAGUGCUCCUUCACGUAGGUCACAGCUUUGUACAUCCCCCAGGGAACGAUGUAAAGCCACUCGGAGUGCGCCUGCAAAUGCCACUUCGCAUCAUCGAAUGAAUCGAAGGUCGACAACAACGUAGUCAGAGCAAACAGAUGUCUUACUCUUGGUCCGAUUGGCACACCAUUGCGCUCGACUGCAAACACAACAGAUACGAGAUUUAGUACUGGUUUCCUCGUACAGACUUCGCAUGGCAAUGGAGGAGCUUACAUGCGAAUCCGGCAUUCCAGUCCGACUGGUAACGAGUGGGCUUCUCCUGCUUGGGAAGAUGAGGGUCGAACAUGUAGUAAGCCGUGUACUGAUUGAUCCCCACGUAGUCGAUGGAGCCUUUGACCAUCUUGAUCUCUUCUUCGGUGAACUUGGGAAGCCUUGCUUGAACUAUCUCCUGCAUCGAUUUCGGGUACUCACCGUAGAUUAUAGGGUGCAGGAACCUGCAGAAGCAUAUGAUGAGAUCAAACACAGGGUAAUGAACUGCUAUCUCCAGAUAAUAGACUUUUGGAUACGUAUUACCAUCCCAGAUGGAAAUCCCUCGAUCUUUGAGCUGCGUCUUGGUCGUCCUUCGAGUCCGUGAGUGGUUCAUACCAAACAAAAUCCAAGAGUAUACCAAUUCGACCUUUUUGUUUAGCCUGGAAAGGUGAAAAUCUACAGUAAAGUCGACAUCCAACAUUACAUUUCAAAGUGCGAAUCGAGAAUGGUGUUUACCUGAUACUUGUCACGGUAUCUUUUGACGGCGGCGGCAUGAGAAAGGAUCAUGUUAUGUGCAACGAUGUAUGGCUCGGUAGCAGAGUUCCCAGCCGAGCAGUUCGUGCACCUCCCUGGAGCAAAUUUGCCGUCAUCGUAUCCGAGAGCUGCUACUACUCUUGGCUCGUUAAAUGUCAUCCAGUUCUUCAC
rnacentral:lncRNA from 1 species